UAUACUCCCAAACAAUUCCAUGUGGAUCAUCCCUAUUGGAUAUUUACAUCCUUCCUGAUGAAAGAACUCUUAACAACAUUGUUCAGCCCUCUAUGGCACCUGUUUGUAGUGCAUGCCGAUGUCGGGAACCAGAGGACCUCCUCAUAAGCUGCCAUCUUUGUCAGAUUCGACAUAUUCAUUCAUAUUGUCUGGACCCUCCCUUGUUACCAUGGACUUGUAUUCACUGUAAGGAUCUGCAGACACUCUACCAUCGAAG
rnacentral:misc_RNA from 1 species